UACGUAGGGUGCAAGCGUUAAUCGGAAUUACUGGGCGUAAAGCGUGCGCAGGCGGUGAUGUAAGACAGAUGUGAAAUCCCCGGGCUCAACCUGGGAACUGCAUUUGUGACUGCAUCGCUGGAGUACGGCAGAGGGGGGAUGGAAUUCCGCGUGUAGCAGUGAAAUGCGUAGAUAUGCGGAGGAACACCGAUGGCGAAGGCAAUCCCCUGGGCCUGCACUGACGCUCAUGCACGAAAGCGUGGGGAGCAAACAGG
rnacentral:rRNA from 1 species